rnacentral:snoRNA from 1 species
CCGCUCGACAAUGAUGAGAUGAUCGCCUACAUCAUGAGCGUCCUCGACCACAACUUCAAUCCGAUCGUCUCCACCUUGAUGACUAAGGUUGAGCCGAUUUCGGUAGCUGAGUUGUAUUCCCAAUUGCUUAGCUUCGAAA